UCACAGGCAGCGUUACAGUUCAUACAGGGUCUGCGCGAACCUGUUUCUUAACAAAAUUUGGGUUUUUUUGGGACAUGAUGAAUUGAAAGUUGGUGAUGAAAUUUGCGGCGAAAUUCUGCAGCCCGCAUGGUAAUGUGCACGUCCAAGUCAAAUGGGAAAGAAGGAAUCCAGCCCAUUUUUCUCAACAUGGAGAUUGAUGAUAUUAAGCUUGAAAGUGAUUUGCCACGAAUUGCCCUAGAUAAGCUUAGGAGGAUAAAUAGCGACGAAGUGGAGGAUUGAAAAAAGGCUCUAAGAGAGGUCACAGAUUUCAGGGGGUUCGACUUGAAAGCUAACAGCCAUGCACAACUGGUUGAAUUGAUCACUGCAGAGGUUUUGCGUCAUCUGAUGGAUGCCUGAUGCAGAAUUUGACUGAAGUUAGUUAAAGAUCAGUGAUAGCUGAUGCUGUAAGAAACUUGUUACUCAAGCCUUUGUUUGGUUCAUUGACAAAGAUGAAAGAAAUUGUGUUCCAUUGAUCCAUUUCACGCAGUAAAAUUCUGUGGAACUGCAUUUAUUUUUAAAUUUUGGAGGAUCCAAGAAUUUCAUUUUGAAAU